rnacentral:lncRNA from 1 species
GCAUGGAGAGAUAUAAUGAUUGGCAAGCACCAACUAAAUGCAAUCAAAGAUGAUAGUGGAGAACUUAUUGCUGAUCAAGACAGUAUAGUAGAAAAAGUAGCAAUCUUCUAUGAGGAAAUAUACAGACCAAGAGACCAAGUGAGACAAACAGGACCAAAACCAGCAAAUACAGAAAAUAUCCCAAUAAUAAUAAUGCAAGCAAUUGAGAAAGCAGAUUAAAAAGAUGAAGUGUGGAAAUUCUCCUAGAGAAGACAACAUCAACAUUGAACUCCUAAAGGAAGUAGUAGUACCCAGGGGUGUCAGUUCUUUAAAAGUUGAGGUAUGGAAUUUUAUGAAAACAGGACCCCCACU